GGUGGGUUGGUUCAGUGGUUAGAGCGUAGGUCUCGCAAACGAAAGGUUGCGAGAUCUCGCAGAUCG
rnacentral:tRNA from 1 species